GAGGAGGAAGAGAUAUCUUCUAAAGCAGAAAAGGCCUAUGUUCCAAAGCUAACAGGGACCGUUAAAGGUAAAUUUGCUGAGAUGGAGAAACAAAGACAGGAAGAAGAAAGGAAGAGAACAGAGGAAGAACGAAAACGCAGGAUAGAGCAGGAUAUGUUGGAAAAGAGGAAAAUACAGCG